CCCCUCUUCUCUAUGUCAUCCCUACUCUCCUUUCUCCCCUCUUCAUGUCCAAGAAGUUGGACAUUCAUCUGGCAUAGGUGCAAGGCGUGGUGACGCCUGGAACAGAAGGCUGCAGGACUUCUUCGACAGGCUGCUGCUCCAACUUCAGAAAGACUUUUGAAGAUCUUUCUAAUCAGAUUUAGAUCUGAUUUUUGGAGCAU
rnacentral:lncRNA from 1 species